rnacentral:lncRNA from 1 species
GGGGUGCUAAUCCUUCCCUGGGCGUAACCGUACUCCCAAACCUAGAUCUAGAAAAAUGUAGACCAGUUUAAGAUUCUCUCGGCGGGCUUAAAAUUAAUUUAAGACUUCGUCAAUUAGAAUCGAGUCAAUAGGUAGCCAAUCACACCUAGAAAAAAGAUUGGUGGUGACUCCUAAUGUGUUUUCAUCACGUCUGGCAGUCGGGUUCUCAGACCCGUACGUUACGACAAAUAUUAUUCUUGUGCUAAGCCAAAAGGGUAUUUUAUUCCAUGAGAUAUAUAAUUACUUUGAAACCAGCAAAAGCUAAUUGCCAUGUAAGAACAGAGAAAACACCAAAGUUGCCAUGGCAACCUAAAAUCUAAGAACACAUGCAACUGCGAAAACUUACCCCAUAGGAGAAACUCUUCAGCUCUCUAGCCAACAUAUCUCUAAAUUUUUCCACAACUAAUUCUUCAUCACAAUUUUCAGUAAGACCCAAUUCCACCCCGAAUGCCGAUUGGAACCUCGCAAGGCUUAGCAUCAGCUUCCGCACCUCCCUGGUGAGCGACAAUUAUUAAAUCUCGCAUUUCAAGAAAUCAUAAGUUGUUUCCAAAUCAAAAUAAUAAAAUAUUAUUUUUUUGCUCACAAGGACAUUUUCAUUAUUUUUCUUUGAAAAUACAGAAACCCACCAAAAACAUGGUGUAAAAGCUAAAUAUGUUCAUACAUACUUUAAAUCAGAUAAUUGAAGUAUAAAAUUACUUUUACAGUGACACGUGGGCCCCCAACUGACCAAGAAGGUGUAGGGCUACGAACCCUUACUUUCUAGGAUGUAACUCCGAGAUUAAUUCUCGUCUUAAUCAACUAUCAACAAACUGUCCUGAGUCUGAAAAAUAGAUAGGAAGAGGGGUGAGAUUACAUAAUCCCAGUGAGUAAACAAACACCACCUAAACUAUCUAAAGGCGAGUAAAUGGAGACAAUUAAAAAAAUUCAUUUCAGCAAAUUUUUCACAACACGAAUAUUCAUUUCAACCAAAUAAUCAAUAUGACUCGUGAAUUUCUCAAAACUUGGCUCAUGCCAAAUCCUGUACUCGGGGACACCUGGACCAAGGGUAUCCAACCGAGUCUGCCAAGGCUGUGAAAAAUUUUAUAUAAUCAUAGAACUUGUUUUUAUUUUGAAAAAAAAGCAGUAGUUCCUUGGCGUUGACUGAGUCUCACUUCACGUGGUGGUUAACGUAAAGUACACUUAAAAAGCCCACCUCAGGAGAUACCCUACGCGCCUCUACUAUCGAAGUGAGAAUAUAAAGGAGUUUACCGUGCCCCUUUAAUAGGUUGGUCCACGAAACCCCGCCACUGUAGUAGCUAAUCUUUAAUCCACCAAUUGAUCAAAUCUCAAUGGCAUAGCAUGGCAAUUACAUUACUAAUCAAUUUAUCAAGGCAAAAUAGACAGUUCAUAUUUUUCAACACAAGUAUAAAUUCAAUCAAUCAUGCCAAUUUAUCACAAGCCAUUUAAUUCAAAUCAUAAUUUACAAUAAAUCACAUCAUCUCCAAUUACUCAAAUUUUCAAAUCCAACAUUCUAUUUUCAAAUCAAUUUAUAAGAAAUUUAAUUUAUUUUAUAAUUCCAUUUAUUUUAUAAUUCCAUUUAUUUUAUAAAUUCAUAUUUUUCUCAUAAAACAAAAAAUUCAUCAUUUAAAAUAAUUUUCACAAAUCACAAAAUUGAAUAAAAACUACUCUAGAUAAUUUAGAUGAUAAUAGGUUUACUCACAGUUCUAGGAGUCGAUGUAUUUCUAAUCUCAAUCUUCAAGCACAAUCUUUGUACUUUUAUCAGUGUAAUUUACUCACCACCUAUCCACAAUGUACAAUACAUAACUCACCACAUUAAUGCUUGACCAUUAUAAAAUCAAUUCAAGCUCGGCGUAUAUGCAUGAUAUGAUAUGUAACUUAUCCGACUACCGCUUAAAUGCGGUGCUGACCUAAUUUGACCUAUUACCCUAUUAAAUGACAAUUGUGUCCGAUUUGGCUCCAAAUUGCUCCAUUUCAUUUCUAGUACCUCAAUUCACCAAACAUUAUUCAAAUAACACCAAUUUCAGAAUCAAAACCCUUCCAUUUCUUCAUGGAAAAAUUUGGUCAUUACAGUACACUAACACCGUGAUUUUUCCUACUUAAUUUUCUCACCAUUAUUCAUCAUUUUCUAAGCCAUUUCUCUUGAAAUAAUAACAAUCCAUCGCCCACACACAUCAAGGAAGAUUCGACCAAUGAAGAUUCAUGGGGAAAAUGGAUUCUUUUCUUGUUGUUUUACUUCUAAAUAUGCUAAACUAACUAAAAACACUAACAUAUCUUAAAAUCAAUUCAAUCCAACAUCUUUCUCUCUCCUUACCCAUUUUGACCAGUCAUGAAUUCAUCAUGAAAACAUGUAAUUUAACCAUGAAAAUUAAGGGAAAAUGCAUGGGUAAGAUAAAUCACUAGCAAAAUCAAAGAAAUUUUACCUUUGCUUGAUCAAAUCCUUGAAUUCCAACACUUUCUCUUUGAUUUUUCCCACCUAGGGUUUGUUCUUCCUUGGUUUCUCUUCUCUUCUGGUUUGGC